CCUACGGGGGCUGCAGUGGGGAAUAUUGGACAAUGGGCGAAAGCCUGAUCCAGCCAUGCCGCGUGUGUGAAGAAGGCCUUCGGGUUGUAAAGCACUUUCAGUGGGGAAGAAAGCCUUGGGGCUAAUACCCUCGAGGAAGGACAUCACCCACAGAAGAAGCACCGGCUAACUCCGUGCCAGCAGCCGCGGUAAUACGGAGGGUGCGAGCGUUAAUCGGAAUUACUGGGCGUAAAGCGCGCGUAGGCGGUCUGAUAAGCCGGUUGUGAAAGCCCCGGGCUCAACCUGGGAACGGCAUCCGGAACUGUCAGGCUAGAGUGCAGGAGAGGAAGGUAGAAUUCCCGGUGUAGCGGUGAAAUGCGUAGAGAUCGGGAGGAAUACCAGUGGCGAAGGCGGCCUUCUGGACUGACACUGACGCUGAGGUGCGAAAGCGUGGGUAGCAAACAGGAUUAGAUACCCUUAGUC
rnacentral:rRNA from 1 species